UACAGAGGUCUCAAGCGUUGUUCGGAUUCAUUGGGCGUAAAGGGUGCGUAGGCGGCGCGGUAAGUCGGGUGUGAAAUCUCGGGGCUUAACUCCGAGACUGCAUUCGAUACUGCCGUGCUUGAGGACUGGAGAGGAGACUGGAAUUUACGGUGUAGCGGUGAAAUGCGUAGAUAUCGUAAGGAAGACCAGUGGCGAAGGCGGGUCUCUGGACAGUACCUGACGCUGAGGCACGAAGGCCAGGGGAGCAAACGGG
rnacentral:rRNA from 1 species